GCAGUGGACGGGCAGUGGACGGGCUGCUGGGACCAAAGCAGGGAGCGGAAGUGUGAAGCCAUCAGCCCUCGUCCUGUCACUCCACGGCUCUGCUGCAAGCCCCUCUCUGGCUCUCCUGUAGCCCCUUUGGUGCUGGAAGGCUGCUUGAAGGGGCCACCCUGAACCUGCUCCACGACCACGCACGGAGGUGGCAAGGUGUGAGCUGCCUGAAGCUGCUGAGGCCCCGGGCUCCCUCCGGCUCUCCAAGCCCUUCACCUCUUCCAGCACCAGGCUUCCAGAUGAAAACACGACCUGUCCCUGCAGCUCCUGCUGCAGCAGCUGCAGUGCCUGCUGGCAGCAGCUCUCUUUGCUUUCCUUUUCUGCCUGCUCUGGUUCUGCUGUGGCAUUUCGCUAAGGAGCAGGACUCCUGCAGUGUUGCUGCUGCCCUGCAGCCUCCUGCAGCAGGGCUCUGCCUCCUUGGAGAGGGUGUGUGAGAGCAGGGCUCAGAGCUGUGGCUUCUCUGCCACCUAGUUAGAAAUAACUUGUGAUCCAAGUCUGAAAAUAGAGAAUUAGAACCAUGGAAUUUGGGUCAGGAACAUACUGGGGGAGAAGGUUUCUGUGAAACGUCUUCCUUGAGGAAAGCUUAAAAA